rnacentral:rRNA from 1 species
GACGAACGCUGGCGGCGUGCUUAACACAUGCAAGUCGAACGGAAAGGCCCUGCUUUUGUGGGGUGCUUGAGUGGCGCACGGGUGAGUAACACGUGAGUAUACUGCCCUUGUCUUUGGGAUAACUUCAGGAAACUGGGGAUAAUACCGGAUAGGAGCUCCUGCUGCAUGGUGGGGGUUGGAAAGUUUCGGUGGUUGGGGAUGGACUCGCGGCUUAUCAGCUUGUUGGUGUGGUAGGGGCGUACCAAGGCUUGGAAGGGUAGCCGGCCUGGGAGGGUGACCAGCGUCAUUGGGACUGAGGUACGGAGCAGACGGCUACGGGCGGCAGCAGUGGAGAGUAUUACACAAUGGGCGGGAGUCUGAUGUGGCAACGCUGCGUGCGUGAAGAUGUCUUUCGGGGUGUAAACAGCUUUCGCCUGAAACGAAGCGUUAGUGACGGUAAUUGGUAAAGAAGCACCGGCUAACUACGUG